rnacentral:rRNA from 1 species
UGGGGAAUUUUGGACAAUGGGCGAAAGCCUGAUCCAGCAAUGCCGCGUGAGUGAUGAAGGCCUUAGGGUUGUAAAGCUCUUUCGCCGACGAAGAUAAUGACGGUAGUCGGAGAAGAAGCCCCGGCUAACUUCGUGCCAGCAGCCGCGGUAAUACGAAGGUGGCUAGCGUUGUUCGGAAUCACUGGGCGUAAAGCGCACGUAGGCGGAUUGUUAAGUCAGGGGUGAAAGCCUGGAGCUCAACUCCAGAACUGCCCUUGAUACUGGCAAUCUCGAGUCCGGAAGAGGUAAGUGGAACUGCGAGUGUAGAGGUGAAAUUCGUAGAUAUUCGCAAGAACACCAGUGGCGAAGGCGGCUUACUGGUCCGGUACUGACGCUGAGGUGCGAAAGCGUGGGGAGCAAAACAGGAUUAGAUACCCUGGUAGUCCACGCCGUAAAACGAUGGAGGCUAGCCGUUGGCGAGCAUGCUCGUCAGUGGCGCAGCUAACGCAUUAAGCCUCCCGCCUGGGGAGUACGGUCGCAAGAUUAAAAACUCAAAUGAAUUGACGGGGUCAUAGCUGUUUCCU